rnacentral:tRNA from 1 species
GCCCCUAUAGCUCAGUUGGCAGAGCAGGUGACUUUUAAUCAUCGGGUCCAAGGUUCGAUCCCUUGUGGGGGCACCC